CACCCCCGUGGGCUGGACGGCCCCAGGCGGGGCUGGGUGAGUAUCUCUUCGAGAGGCUCACCCUCCAGCACGACUAGGAGC
rnacentral:pre_miRNA from 1 species